CUCUCCCUCUCCCUUUGUACCUCUCUCUCUCAGUCUCUCAGUCUCUCUUUCUCUCCGUCUCCACUCUCGAACCCUCCCCUCUCCCUUUUUGCUCGAUCUACCUCUCCCGCACAUCAAGGAGAAUUUUGCAACAUUAGGCCGGUUUUGCAAGGAUGCCCAAAAUGGCAUAUGCUGCUACUCCAAUGCCGUUGAAAAGAAAUGGCCUAUUUGGGGACAGAGCGUAUGACGUUUAGGGAUAGUGCAUAUAUAUUCUUUCCCCAGAAUGAUGUUUUUUCAUGGAUUCCUUGCCUGAUUCGAUGUAUUUGGUUGUAAAAUGAUGGAAGACGUGUUUCAGAAAAGAUUUGGCUGCAUCACAAGUUAGAAUACAGUGGUUGUAGGUGAUCAGCUCUCAGAAGUAAAUAAGGGAAAAAAGAAAGAAGAAGAACAAAAAUGGAUGGUGAUGGGGCACUUUAUUGCAUCAUUAGUGGAAGUUUGUCUUUGACAAAGGAGCGCUUUAAAACUUGAAUCCUACAAAUUCAUUUGUCUUUUCCAUUUUUCACCUAAUUUCUUUUGUUUAUAUGCAGUUUGACAAACCUGACCAAGCCAAGUGAUUGCUAUCUCUCAAUGUUUGUAGAUGAUUUUGCAGAAUGAGCUUCUUGAUGUCAUGGGGCAAAGAAGAUUCAGUAUGGGAGUGAUGGGGGAGUACCUGAAAUCAGAUCUCCAGGAAAUAUAUAUCGGUAAUGAAUGAAUGGAGAAUUUAAAGAUAUAUACUUGAAAUGGAUGGUUGCAUUGUCUUUUAUAUAAUUGUGUGCAUACCUUAUUAUUGUGGUAUG